UACGGGGGGAGCAAGCGUUGUUCGGAUUUACUGGGCGUAAAGGGCGCGUAGGCGGUCAGCACAAGUCAGUUGUGAAAUCUCCGGGCUUAACUCGGAAAGGUCAACUGAUACUGUGCGACUAGAGUGCGGAAGGGGCAACUGGAAUUCUCGGUGUAGCGGUGAAAUGCGUAGAUAUCGAGAGGAACACCUGCGGCGAAGGCGGGUUGCUGGGCCGACACUGACGCUGAUGCGCGAAAGCGUGGGGAGCGAUCCGG
rnacentral:rRNA from 1 species